GAGCCACAUCUACGACAUAUGCUGCAGCUUGCAGCAACACCAAAUCCUUAACCCACUAAGCAAGGCCAGGGAUCGAACCUGCAUCCUCAUGGAUACUAGCUGGGUUUCUAACUCACUGAGCCACAAUGGGAAUUCCCAGAUAAGUUAUCUUAAUAAAAUAUUGGCAAUAGUUAUGAAAACCAAGUAGUUCUGUAGGAAUACAAGGAUAGGUAGGCAUCUAAUAUCAGUAAUGAAUUAUAGAGAAAAACCCUGUGAUAACUAGAUGCAAAAGAGGCAAUUUAUAGAAUUCAAUGUACAUUUCCUAAAGACUUUAGACUAUUACAAUAUGUCCUUAACUUGGUAAGGACAAGUUAUUAUAUAUUAGAAAUUAAGAACAUGUAAAAGCAACACUGAAGAUAUUGACAUUAAAGUCAGGAACAAAACAAGAAUAACGACUCACUCUCAUUAGUGUUCUGAGGUCCUAAUAACCAUGAUAGGCUUAAAAGAAGGUAGAGAAGAACAAAAACAUUUGCAGAUGACCAUUUAAAAAAAAAAAACGACUUUAAACUGUUAUAAAAUAGACUCUAGCAGGAGAGGUAGACAAAUGCAAAUAAAUAUGACACUUACAAGAUGGGAUUAAGAUGGUGGAAUAGAAGGAAUGGAGCUUAACUUCUCUCCUAAAAACAACAAAAUUCACAACUAAAGACUGAGCAAUCUUCACCCAAAUGGACCGGAAAUCUUAAAAAAGAUAUCCUACGCCAGAAGAAAAAGAGGAGGCCAUAUCAAGAGGUAGAUGGGGCGAUUUCGCGAUAUAAACAACCCCAUACCUCCUGGGUGGGAAGCCCCACCGACUGGAAACUAACUGGUUCACAGAGACUCGCCUACAGGAGUGAGAGUUCUGAGCCCCACAUCAAACUCUCACGUGUGGGGAUUUGGCACUGGGAGAAAGAGCCCCUGGAGCAUCUGGCAUUGAAGGCCAGUGGGGCUUGUGUGCAGGAGCUCCACAGGACUGGGGAAAUGGAGACACCAUUCUUAAAAGGCGCACACAGACUUUCACAUGCACUGGGUCCCAGAGCAAAGCAAAAUCUCCAUAGGAAUCUGGGUCAAACCUGACUAUAGUUCUUGGAGGACAUCCUGGGAAAAGAGGGGUGAAUGUGGCUUGUUAUGAGGGAUGGACAUUGAAAGCAAAGCUCUCGGGAAUAUUCAGCAGCAUGCCUUUCUCUGGAAGUGACCAUUUUGGGAAAAUUUGGUCAGUCAGUGCUGAGAAGCCCCAGGGCAAACAACAAUCCAGGUGGGAUCACAGCCCCGCCCCUCAGUAAACAGGCUAUCUAAAGACCCCUCAGGCACACAGCUGCCUCUAAUCCCAUCCAGAGACUAAGCCCCACCCACCAGAGGGAUUAGAAUCAGCUUCACCUACAGGUGGGCAGGCAUCAGUCCCUUGCAUCAGGAAGCCUACAGCAAGCCCCCAUACCCACUUCAGCCACAAGGGGGUCAGACACCAGAAGUAAGAGAGCCCACAACUCUAUGUUCAUUGCAGCACUAUUUGCAAUAGCCAAGACAUGGAAACAACCUAAAUGUCCAUUGACAGAGGAGUGGAUCAAGAAGAUGUGGUACAAAAAAUAAAUAAAUAAAUAAAUAAAUAAAUAAAUAAACAAAAAAUAAAAAAUAAAAAAUAAAAAAGGGAGUCCUCUUUAGAUUAAAAAAAAAAAAAAAUCCUAUACGAAUCCUAUGUAUCCAGAUUUUGAAAUGAGUAUUUUUUAUCAGGCAUCUGCUCUAAAACAUUCUCACGUUUCAGUGCAAUGCGGAAGGGUGUACACACAAGAUCUAGUCAAAACAUAAGCACGUUUCGACAAACCAUGGAUUAGGAUGACUACAACUCCCAAGAUGCGCUGCAGCAAAACGUGCAUUUCGCCUGAUUUUCACCUUUCAGACUAAAGAGCUGUAAAGAGCUAGCGGCAAGAACUGUCCUUAAAAAAACGAAUAAAAGGAGUCUAUCAAGAAAACAAGGAUUGAAAUAAAUGACUGCUCAGUUCACCCGUAUCCACCGUGCAAUGUUUGAAAAUUAAUCUGUUGUUUGACAACUAAUGUAAACGCCAAAAGAAUUUCUUCCUCAGUGCAGAAGUCUUCCCGAGAGAGAAUGCAAGAAAUGCCAGGAAGAGAAACUCAAAAAUAUCAAAAACAAUGCUUAGAUAAGUUAGGCAGGUAGUUCCCGCCAGUUCCCUAAACUUAUCUGAAGACUCAUUUUCCGAGAUUACAAAUUAGGGAAGAACACCAUAUUUUCACAAAGCGGAAAGUAUGCUUUCCAAUGGCCAGCCACCAAAAGCAUAACGGCAAAACGCCUGGGCAGGAAAUAAGAAACUGUCACACCUUUGUACGAUGUUACAAUCUUCUGGACAAACACGAACACUUCCUGAGGAAAUGCUUAACUAUAACAGACUCCACUACGAAUUGCAGUGGGUUUGGGGUCGCAUUAGACAUUUUAAAUUCCUAAAGUCUUCACAGACAAGAGGUUUUAACUGUUUUUCUCCUACAGGCUGACAGGGUGAGCUUCCAUUAAGGAGUGCGAGCACAUUUUCUUCCCUUUGGCUCAGAGUAAGUCCUGUCCAAGGAUGCGUACCUCCCAGAUUUGCUCUGUUUUUUCCACAGAGCUUGGCUCUUCCACACGCCUGUCACAGACAGCAACCGCCGGAAGCCGCAUCCACAACUCG
rnacentral:lncRNA from 1 species